AACGAACGCUGGCGGCAUGCCUAACACAUGCAAGUCGAACGAGACCUUCGGGUCUAGUGGCGCAUGGGUGCGUAACGCGUGGGAACCUGCCCUUAGGUUCGGAAUAACUCCCCGAAAGGGGUGCUAAUACCGGAUAAUGUCUUCGGACCAAAGAUUUAUCGCCUUUGGAUGGGCCCGCGUUGGAUUAGGUUGUUGGUAGGGUAAAAGCCUACCAAGGCGACGAUUCAUAGCUGGUCUGAGAGGAUGAUCAGCAACACUGAGACGAAGACACGGCCCAGACUCCUACGGGAGGCAGGAGUGGGGAAUAUUGGACAAUGGGCGAAAGCCUGAUCCAGCAAUGCCGCGUGAGUGAUGAAGGCCUUAGGGUUGUAAAGCUCUUUUACCCGGGAUGAUAAUGACAGUACCGGGAGAAUAAGCUCCGGCUAACUCCGUG
rnacentral:rRNA from 1 species